CGUAGGGACCGAGCGUUGUCCGGAUUCAUUGGGCGUAAAGAGCUCGUAGGCGGCUGCUCAAGUCGAAUGUGAAAACUCGAGGCUUAACCUCGAGCCUGCAUUCGAUACUGGGCGGCUAGAGUCUGGUAGGGGGAUCUGGAAUUCCUGGUGUAGCGGUGGAAUGCGCAGAUAUCAGGAGGAACACCGGUGGCGAAGGCGGGAUCCUGGGCCAGUACUGACGCUGAGGAGCGAAAGCGUGGGGAGCAAACAGGAUUAGAUACCCUGGUAGUCCACGCCGUAAACGAUGGGCGCUAGGUGUGGGAGGUCAUCGACUCCUUCCGUGCCGCAGCUAACGCAUUAAGCGCCCCGCCUGGGGAGUACGGCCGCAUGGCUA
rnacentral:rRNA from 1 species